rnacentral:tRNA from 2 species
GUCAGGGUAGCUCAGCUGGUAG